rnacentral:lncRNA from 1 species
AUUUCUCUCCUGCACCAAGAACUCCACAUCUGGUCACAGCACUCCAGUGCUUUCAGCUGGUGGACAAAUGGAUCUGCAUACUGGUAAAGAUGAGAUAAAGUUGUAGAAGUGGUGGAUGAACCAAGCCAAAUCAUAGUCAUUAUUCUUCUGGACUGCAUAAAAAUGUUCAGCCUGACCAAAGACAGCCAUGGUCUCCACAGAUCCAAUCACAGCAGUCUGGGACUGGAGACUUAACUGCAGCUACUUAAGGAACAUACACAUGGAAGAACUGGCUGGCAAAUACAGAUUAGUACAAGCAUCAUCAUUUGUGUAGUAAAUAUAUCAAAGCAUUCCCUGUGUUCUCCAUAUCUACAAAAUCCUUGGAAUAAAAGUUAUAUGCUGUGUUUUGUACUUCUCUUGCCAAAGGUAGAAGCUUUGCUCCUUCCCACUCC